GCGGAAGUAGUUCAGUGGUAGAAUACAACCUUGCCAAGGUUGGGGUCGCGGGUUCGAAUCCCGUCUUCCGCUCCN
rnacentral:tRNA from 1 species